GGUUGCGAUCAUACCAGCACUAAUGCACCGGAUCACAUCAGAACUCCGCAGUUAAGCGUGCUUGGGCGAGAGUAGUACUAGGAUGGGUGUGUUGCAACCC
rnacentral:rRNA from 1 species